GUGCCAGCAGCCGCGGUAAGACGUAGGGGGCCAGCGUUGCUCGGAAUUACUGGGCGUAAAGGGUUCGUAGGCGGUGCGGCAAGUCGGUAGUGAAAUCUCCAGGCUUAACUUGGAGGCUGCUGCCGAAACUGCUGUGCUAGAGUGCGGGAGAGGCGAGUGGAAUUACAGGUGUAGCGGUGAAAUGCGUAGAUAUCAGGAGGAACACCUGUGGCGAAAGCGGCUCACUGGACCAUAACUGACGCUGAGGCACGAAAGCGUGGGGAGCGAUCCGGAUUAGAAACCCUCGUAGUCC
rnacentral:rRNA from 1 species